GUCGAGGGGUAUGGCAGCAAUGCCAGAGACCGGCGCACGGGUGCGUAACGCGUAUGCAAUCUGCCUUUCACAGAGGGAUAGCCCAGGGAAAUUUGGAUUAAUACCUCAUAGCAUAAUGAGUUGGCAUCAACACAUUAUUAAAGUCACAACGGUGAAAGAUGAGCAUGCGUCCCAUUAGCUAGUUGGUAAGGUAACGGCUUACCAAGGCGACGAUGGGUAGGGGUCCUGAGAGGGAGAUCCCCCACACUGGUACUGAGACACGGACCAGACUCCUACGGGAGGCAGCAGUGAGGAAUAUUGGUCAAUGGGCGCAAGCCUGAACCAGCCAUGCCGCGUGCAGGAUGACGGUCCUAUGGAUUGUAAACUGCUUUUGUACGGGAAGAAACAGCGAUUCGUGAAUCGCCUUGACGGUACCGUAAGAAUAAGGAUCGGCUAACUCCGUGCCAGCAGCCGCGGUAAUACGGAGGAUCCAAGCGUUAUCCGGAAUCAUUGGGUUUAAAGGGUCCGUAGGCGGUUUUGUAAGUCAGUGGUGAAAGCCCAUCGCUCAACGGUGGAACGGCCAUUGAUACUGCAAGACUUGAAUUAUUAGGAAGUAACUAGAAUAUGUAGUGUAGCGGUGAAAUGCUUAGAGAUUACAUGGAAUACCAAUUGCGAAGGCAGGUUACUACUAAUGGAUUGACGCUGAUGGACGAAAGCGUGGGUAGCGAACAGGAUUAGAUACCCUGGUAGUCCACGCCGUAAACGAUGGAUACUAGCUGUUGGGAGCGAUCUCAGUGGCUAAGCGAAAGUGAUAAGUAU
rnacentral:rRNA from 1 species